rnacentral:rRNA from 1 species
UGGGGAAUCUUGGACAAUGGGCGCAAGCCUGAUCCAGCCAUGCCGCGUGAGUGAAGAAGGCCUUCGGGUUGUAAAGCUCUUUUACCAGGGACGAUAAUGACGGUACCUGGAGAAUAAGCCCCGGCAAACUUCGUGCCAGCAGCCGCGGUAAUACGAAGGGGGCUAGCGUUGUUCGGAAUUACUGGGCGUAAAGCGCACGUAGGCGGAUUGUUAAGUCAGAGGUGAAAUCCCGGAGCUCAACUUCGGAACUGCCUUUGAUACUGGCAAUCUAGAGUCCGGAAGAGGUUAGUGGAAUUCCCAGUGUAGAGGUGAAAUUCGUAGAUAUUGGGAAGAACACCAGUGGCGAAGGCGGCUAACUGGUCCGGUACUGACGCUGAGGUGCGAAAGCGUGGGGAGCAAACAGGAUUAGAUACCCCUGUAGUCCCUGAG